UAGCAGCUAUUAAUUGGAUCUGGUAAGCUAUUAGUUCGUUCUAAUCUUCUUCUAAUUUUUUCAGUUAAUCAGUGUGCGUACGUAUGCAUGCUUGCUUCCUUACCUGCUGGUCCCCUUGCAGAAUUCUGAUCAGUUUACUCCAGUGAUCACUACCGAUUCGGAUGGGCCUGUGGAGGGCUCCGAUGAUCUUCUAUUCUCUGUUUUCCUUCUAGCUUGCGCCUAGCCCUGCGAGAUCUUGAAAUUAGCAAUUGGCUCACUAUCAAGGUAAACCGUGUCUUCCAGAUGAUCACUGUUGAUUCGUAUUAUUGACAGCUUUUUCCCUCAUUGGAAUAGUGGUUUUGU
rnacentral:lncRNA from 1 species